rnacentral:rRNA from 1 species
GCCCAGCAAACGCAAUAAGUAUUCCACCUGGGGAGUACGUUCGCAAGAAUGAAACUCAAAGGAUUGACGGGGACCCGCACAAGCGGUGGAGCAUGUGGUUUAAUUCGAAGCAACGCGAAGAACUUACCAGGCCUUGACAUCCCAAGGAAAGCCCCUUAACCGGGGCCCCUCUUCGGAGUCUUGAGACAGGUGGUGCAUGGUUGUCGUCAGCUCGUGUCGUGAGAUGUUGGGUCAAGUCCCGCACGAGCGCAACCCUUGUCCGUAGUAGCCAGCAGUAAGAUGGGAACUCUACGGAGACUGCCGGGAUAACCCGGAGGAAGGUGGGGAUGACGUCAAAUCAUCAUGCCCCUUACGGUCUGGGCGCACACGUGCUACAAUGGCGUAACAGAGGGAAGCGAGCCCGCGAGGGGGAGCAAACCCCAAAAUAGCGUCCCAGUUCGGACUGUAGUCUGCAACCCGACUACACGAAGCCGGAAUCGCUAGAAUCGCGGAUCAGAAUGCCGCGGUGAAUACGUUCCCGGGUCUUGCACUCACCGCCCGUAA